GACGAACGCUGGCGGCGUGCUUAACACAUGCAAGUCGAACGGAAAGGCCCUGCUUUUGUGGGGUGCUCGAGUGGCGAACGGGUGAGUAACACGUGAGUAACCUGCCCUUGACUUUGGGAUAACUUCAGGAAACUGGGGCUAAUACCGGAUAGGAGCUCCUGCUGCAUGGGGGGGGUGGGAAGGUUUCGGCGGUUGGGGAUGGACUCGCGGCUUAUCAGCUUGUUGGUGGGGUAGUGGCUUACCAAGGCUUUGACGGGUAGCCGGCCUGAGAGGGUGACCGGCCACAUUGGGACUGAGAUACGGCCCAGACUCCUACGGGAGGCAGCAGUGGGGAAUAUUGCACAAUGGGCGGAAGCCUGAUGCAGCAACGCCGCGUGCGGGAUGACGGCCUUCGGGUUGUAAACCGCUUUCGCCUGUGACGAAGCGUGAGUGACGGUAAUGGGUAAAGAAGCACCGGCUAACUACGUG
rnacentral:rRNA from 1 species